UUUAUGGAGAGUUUGAUCCUGGCUCAGGAUGAACGCUGGCGGCGUGCCUAAUACAUGCAAGUCGAGCGAACUGACGAGGAGCUUGCUCCUUUGACGUUAGCGGCGGACGGGUGAGUAACACGUGGGUAACCUACCUAUAAGACUGGAAUAACUCCGGGAAACCGGGGCUAAUGCCGGAUAACAUAUCGAACCGCAUGGUUCGAUAGUGAAAGACGGUUUUGCUGUCACUUAUAGAUGGACCCGCGCCGUAUUAGCUAGUUGGUGAGGUAACGGCUCACCAAGGCGACGAUACGUA
rnacentral:rRNA from 1 species